rnacentral:misc_RNA from 1 species
AUAUGUUCUGUGGCAGUGUUGUGUUCGAUGAAAUGUACUUGCAUGUGUCCACUUCGAUUUAUGCAUUUUUCUCCAAUUAAUCUUCAACUGCGAAUCGCAAACAUGCUAGGCUCGAAUGUUGUUUCAGAUUCUCAGGAAUCUGCAUUGAUGGAUGAUGAAACGUAUAAGGAUAUAGAGAAGACUUUCGGAGGUACAUUGCCGCUACCAGAAGAUAUGAACGCAUUUGAUGCAGAAGACAAAUAUGAUAUACUACUUACCGAGUCCAUGUAUAUCCCUCCGGAAAAGAGAUUAAAAAGUCAAACAGAAGAAGAUGACGAUAUUUAUUAUUCACGUGGGUACGCCAAUUAUUUAGGCCCUCAAUUAAAUUUCCAGUAUACCUUGGCAGAGAAUGGUGGACAGGAUUGGUCGGUGUAAGAUUUUUAUGUAGUAGAUAAAUUGGUGCUAAAUGUAUCUUACGUAUCAGUGUGAUGAUUUUCUGUUAACAUUGAUAUAAACUAAACUAUUUUAUGAACCAAACUUUUAUAAUGUUGCAUAUAUACUCUCAAAAAUCGAAAAGAGUAUUUCUAAAAAUGGAAAAGACACUGCCUUUACGAUUUACAUGGGAACCAGC